GAUGAACGCUGGCGGCGUGCCUAAUACAUGCAAGUCGAGCGAACAGACGAGGAACUUGCUCCUCUGACGUUAGCGGCGGACGGGUGAGUAACACGUGGAUAACCUACCUAUAAGACUGGGAUAACUUCGGGAAACCGGAGCUAAUACCGGAUAAUAUAUUGAACCGCAUGGUUCAAUAGUGAAAGACGGUUUUGCUGUCACUUAUAGAUGGAUCCGCGCCGCAUUAGCUAGUUGGUAAGGUAACGGCUUACCAAGGCAACGAUGCGUAGCCGACCUGAGAGGGUGAUCGGCCACACUGGAACUGAGACACGGUCCAGACUCCUAAGGGAGGCAGCAGUAGGGAAUCUUCCGCAAUGGGCGAAAGCCUGACGGAGCAACGCCGCGUGAGUGAUGAAGGUCUUCGGAUCGUAAAACUCUGUUAUUAGGGAAGAACAAAUGUGUAAGUAACUAUGCACGUCUUGACGGUACCUAAUCAGAAAGCCACGGCUAACUACGUG
rnacentral:rRNA from 1 species